GUCAGCAGCCGCGGUAAUACCGGCAGUCCGAGUGAUGGCCGAUCUUAUUGGGCCUAAAGCGUCCGUAGCUGGCUGAACAAGUCCGUUGGGAAAUCUGUCCGCUUAACGGGCAGGCGUCCAGCGGAAACUGUUCAGCUUGGGACCGGAAGACCUGAGGGGUACGUCUGGGGUAGGAGUGAAAUCCUGUAAUCCUGGACGGACCGCCGGUGGCGAAAGCGCCUCAGGAGAACGGAUCCGACAGUGAGGGACGAAAGCCAGGGUCUCGAACCGGAUUAGAUACCCCGGUAGUCC
rnacentral:rRNA from 1 species